AUGCAGGUCACUCCUCAUCUGCGCGGCGACGGCGUCUUCGGCUACGUCGACGGCACCACACCGGAGCCGGCCAGGCUUCAUGUCACCAAGGACAAGGAUGGAAAAGAAAGCUCUGAGCCCAACCCUCUCCACCCAAUCUGGGUCCGGGAGGAUCAACAGGUGUUGGGCUACUUGCUCAGCACCCUCUCCAAGGAGGUACUCAUCGCGGUGACCACGGUCACCACGGCGCACGCGCUCUGGACAAAGGUGGCAGGUAUGUUUUCCUCGCAGUCCAUGAGCCGCGUGAAUAACAUCAGGACGACGCUCAUCAACACGCAGAAGGGCAACCAGACGGUUGCCGCCUACUUCGCCUCUCUCCGUGGCCUCGCCGACGAGCUUGCAACUGCGGGGAAGGCCAUCCAAGAUGACAAACUCAUCUCCUACAUCAUCCACGGCCUCGACGUCGACUACUAG
rnacentral:rRNA from 1 species